rnacentral:lncRNA from 1 species
AUUCAAGAUCUAACUCUUAGAAUUGUUUUUUCCUGCCAAUCUGUAUUUGGAAAGGAAGGGACAACAUGAAAUUUUACCUUCCUCACUCAACCAGGCAACAUAGAUAGAGAUCUGAAAGAGCUCACUUUGGUGAGAAUUCUCACUCUUUGGCAACUUCUGCUGGUUCUCCCAGGAUCCCGUCUGCAGAUGCUGGAGUGAGUAAGGUGUCCCAGCAGGUGUCAUCCUGGUCACCAGAAACUCUGCAGAAGGAAAAAUAAUUUUCCCUCUACCCAUUAUGAACGACAAACACUGCCUGAAAUGGACAAGGUGUUUCUUCGCCGACUGCGUGGUGGGAGUGAUUCAGCUGAGUCUGUUAUUCCUACGAGGGCUAACCUGCGGUCCUUCCUACCUUAUCGUCUCCAGGUGAGGGUGUAAUGAGAAGGUGGCUGCUACAACCAGGAAGAGGGUCCUCACCACAACCCGACCAUGGUGGUAUCCUGAUCUCAGACUUCCAGUCUCCAAAACGCAGGCCUCCUAGUGAAGUUGCUGUUCAAAUAUCUUCUUCCAAAUUAAUUGAAAACUCUGUGAAAGAAAGCCUCUUUGCUCCCACUGUUUCUCCUGGCAGCCCCAAGUGUAUUGGCCAAGUGGACAGCCCGCUGAGGAAACUGCAGGGGACUGAGAAAAAGCAGAACACUUCCGGGAUUCUCAAAGAUGCCAGUUCCUCUCAAACUAGGCAAAAAUUACUCCUGGUUCAUAGCUCAGCUUCAACACUGCCGAGUUUAAGGGAAGGUUGUCCUGGCUGGACUGAAUGGAGCCCAAGGUUGGGUUCCAUUGAGGCAACUGGCUAAUGGUGUCUUCAUUAAUCUGCGUCCCUUUUGGCCACGUCUCACACCUGUUAUCCUGGAGGGCAUCAUGAGCAAAACAGUCAGAGCAUUAAUCCAUUUUAGGACUGGCAAUGAUCCUGGCUGACUCGGGGGCUGAGCGGAGUCUCCCUCAAGUGGAUUCCUGGAUUUCUGCCUCCCUUCGUUUUAGCAGAAUGAAAGAGAGGCCAACUAUAGCCACCCCUCUCCCGUUUCCAAUUUCCCCUCAUUGUUCUCCCUACGCUCUUCUUCUCUUGUUCAUAGUUUUACUGCAUGAGAGAAAAUUUCAACUAAAAUUGACAUCUG